rnacentral:lncRNA from 1 species
CAACAAGUUCAUCCAUAUGAGGGCUCAGACAGUGUGAUGGUGGGCAACGGAGAAUUUCUACCCAUUACACACACAGGUUCUACCACUAUAGCAUCUUCCUCAGGUACUUUACCUAUUAAAGAUGUCUUAGUAUGUCCAGAUAUUACAAAGUCUCUUUUAUCUGUGUCCAAACUUACCCAUGAUUAUCCAUGUACUGUUGAGUUUGAUUGUGAUGUUGUGCGUGUACUUGAUAAGGCCACAAAACAGUUGCUGGUCCAGGGAAGUCACAGUAAAGGUCACUAUAUUGUGAAGGACACCGUUGUUAAAGCCUUCUACUCAACUAGACAACAUUCA